UACAGAGGAGCCAAGCGUUGUCCGGAUUGACUGGGCGUAAAGCGCACGCAGGCGGGCGCGCGCGGGGGGUGUGAAAUCUGGCCGCUUAACGGCCAGGCGCCAUCCCAUACGGCGCGCCUGGAGGGCUGCAGAGGUCGAUGGAAUUGCCGGUGUAGCGGUGAAAUGCUUAGAGAUGACAUAGAACACCUAUUGCGAAGGCAGCUAACUACGCGAAUAUUGACGCUGAGGCACGAAAGCGUGGGGAUCAAACAGG
rnacentral:rRNA from 1 species